UAAAAUUAUAAAUAUUUAAAGCAUUUUUUAAAGAUAAACUUUAUAAAAAGUUUUUAAAAUUAUAAUAUUUAACUUUUGAUAAAGUUAUAAUAUUUAUAAUUUCUUGAAACAUUUUAAAGUUUCAAUUCUUUAAAAUAAAAAAUCCGAGUAAAAUCGGAUAACUAUUUUAAUUUUAGACGCCUGAUAAAUCAAGCUUCCUGCUCAUUCGUAAUCAGAAUCAUUUUGGUCCUUUUAUAAUAUGGGUCUGAACUAUUGUCCAAUUUUUCUAAGCGAUGUGGGACAUUGUACACAUAUUAUUUCUUCAUAGGUUGAAUAAUAUAUUUCCGUUUUAAAAAAUUUGAAUUACAUCAUAUUCAGAAAAAAUAUAAUAUUUUAUUAACUAUAUAUAUUUUAUAUAAAUUCAAAAUAAAUAAAGUAUAAGAUCAAAUAAAAAUGAAAGAAGAAUUAUAUAUUUAUGUUUAAAUUAGGUAGAAAUAUUUUAGGAAAUUAGUUAAGGUAAAUAAGAAAUAUGGUUAGUUUAGAGAUAUUGUUUAUAUUAUGUAAUUAAAUCAUUAAUUUCGUUUUUAAUUAUUAUUUU
rnacentral:sRNA from 1 species